GAUGAACGCUGACAGAAUGCUUAACACAUGCAAGUCUUUGGCGAAGCUGUGCUUGCACAGCCUAGCCAAGGCGGACGGGUGAGUAACGCGUAAGGAACUUGCCCUGCAGUCAGGGAUAACAGACGGAAACGACUGAUAAGACCUGGUAAAGUCAGGCGGACUCAUGUCCAGCCUGAUGAAAAGAGAUGCUGCAGGAGAGCCUUGCGUCCUAUUAGCUUGUUGGUGGGGUAACGGCCCACCAAGGCGAUGAUAGGUAGCCGGCCUGAGAGGGUGGACGGCCACAAGGGGACUGAGAUGCGGCCGUUACUCCUACGGGAGGCAGCAGUGGGGAAUAUUGGACAAUGGGGGCAACCCUGAUCCAGCAAUUCUGUGUGCACGAUGAAGGUUUUCGGAUUGUAAAGUGCUUUCAGCAGGGAAGAAAAAAAUGACGGUACCUGCAGAAGAAGCGACGGCUAAAUACGUG
rnacentral:rRNA from 1 species